rnacentral:rRNA from 1 species
GACGAACGCUGGCGGCGUGCUUAACACAUGCAGGUCGAGCGGUAAGGCCCUUUCGGGGUACGACGAGCGGCGAACGGGUAGGAGUAACAACGUGGGUGGACCUCGCCCUCCAGCUCUGGGAGUAAGACCUCGGGAAACGUAGGGUCGUAAUAACUGGGAGUAAUGACUCCACGGUGGCAUGUCGUGGGGUGGGAAAGACCUUG